rnacentral:ncRNA from 1 species
CACCGUUGGACCACACCCCAAACCGAGACCUAUAGGGUGUCUAAAUCACGUCUCUCAUACCUCAGCUAAGGGUGCUGAGGAAUAGUAACUCCA